UUUAGAAAUACAUAGUGAAAUGUUACAAAGAAAAUGAAGGAAACUAGAAUAUGAUGGAGAGAAUUGAUGCUUCAAAAUCGUGGCCAAGGUCCCCUUUUAUAGGCAAAGGAACAUCCAAAAUUCAAGUAGGCAAUGCAACUUGUUUCUGUCCAGCUUCAAGACAGCUGGAACAUGCAACUUGAUGCCAAUUUUCAGAUAUAUUGUGC
rnacentral:lncRNA from 1 species